rnacentral:rRNA from 1 species
AUUGAACGCUGGCGGCAUGCCUUACACAUGCAAGUCGAACGGCAGCACGGGAGCUUGCUCCUGGUGGCGAGUGGCGAACGGGUGAGUAAUACAUCGGAACGUACCCAGUAGUGGGGGAUAACGCACCGAAAGGUGCGCUAAUACCGCAUACGACCUACGGGUGAAAGCGGGGGACCGUAAGGCCUCGCGCUAUUGGAGCGGCCGAUGUCUGAUUAGCUAGUUGGCGGGGUAAAAGCCCACCAAGGCGACGAUCAGUAGCUGGUCUGAGAGGACGGUCAGCGACACGGGGACAGAGACACGGCCCAGCCUCCUACGGGAGGCAGCAGUGGGGAAUUUUGGACAAUGGGGGCAGCCCUGAUCCAGCAAUGCCGCGUGUGCGAAGAAGGCCUUCGGGUUGUAAAGCACUUUUGUCAGGGAAGAAACACCGGCUCUAACACAGUCCGGGAAUGACGGUACCUGAAGAAUAAGCACCGGCUAACUACGUGCCAGCCGCCGCAGUAA